UACGUAGGGGGCAAGCGUUAUCCGGAUUUACUGGGUGUAAAGGGAGCGUAGACGGUGCAGCAAGUCUGAUGUGAAAGGUCGGGGCCCAACCCCGGGACUGCAUUGGAAACUGUUGAACUGGAGUACAGGAGAGGUAAGCGGAAUUCCUAGUGUAGCGGUGAAAUGCGUAGAUAUAUGGAAGAACACCAGUGGCGAAAGCGGCUCUCUGGUCUGUAACUGACGCUGAGGUUCGAAAGCGUGGGUAGCAAACAGG
rnacentral:rRNA from 1 species